GAUGAAGAACGUAGCGAAAUGCGAUAAGUAAUGUGAAUUGCAGAAUUCAGUGAAUCAUCGAAUCUUUGAACGCAUCUUGCGCUCCUUGGUAUUCUGAGGAGCAUGCCUGUUUGAGUGUCAUUAAAUUCUCAACUACACUGACUUUGAAUUGGUGUGGCUUGGAUUUGGGGGGAAAAUUGUUGUGGGCUUUUUGUAUAGUCUGCUCCCCUGAAAUUGAUUAGCGGUACCUUUGUGGAACUGUCUACAGGUGUGAUAAUUAUCUACAUCUUAGACAUCUGCUGGAAUGCUGCUUUCUAAACCUUACUUAUAUUGACAAUCUUGACCUCAAAUCAGGUAGGACUACCCGCUGAACUUAAGCAUAUCAAUAAGCGGAGGA
rnacentral:misc_RNA from 1 species